rnacentral:lncRNA from 1 species
GUAAUUUCAAUUUUUCAAACAUGAAUAAUUCGAAGGAGGAUAAAAAAAAAACCCAGGGAAGUUCCCAAGGAAACCAUAUGUAUUCUUUUUAGAAAUCAAAUGUAUUCUGUAAGGAACAUUCUAAAGGCUAAGAUUUUUAUUGUUAUGUAUAAAGAUAUCUACAAUCUAAGGGCAGUCCUGAACCAUAAAAUUAUUAAUGGGAGUUAAUGUCUCACAUGAUCAAAGAAUACAAGAUAAUCAAACAUGGCUUAUUAAAGGUUGUUACGAAAAAGAUCAGCCAGGUGGUUCAAAGCCAGCCUGGGAAAUUUAGCAAGACGCUGGUUCCAAAUAAAAAAGUGAAAAAAAGCUGGGAAUGUAGCCCAGUGGCUCUGGAUUCAACCCCCAGUGUACCACUGAGAGAGAGAGAGAGAGAGAAAGGGCUCUCUUAUGGUUUAGGUUCUUAUGGUUAGUUGUAUGAUUUGCAACAAGUCUUUCUGGGCCUUAUUAAUACUGAAGAAUUAGAAUGAAAUAAUUCUAAAAGAAAAACUAGGUGACACAGCCAAGAUGGCCGCGAAUAGAGUGCAGCACACCCUGUGUACCGCGUCACUGCGCAGGUGAAUAACGAGUUAGAAUGACAAAAAGCUAUCUUG